GGAGAUCGUGGAUGCUAUCCCUUUCCCUACUCUUCCCAUUUUACAGAGGAGGAAACUGAGGCCCAGGGAGGGAACUGGAGUCGCCCAAGAUCACACUGCUCAUUUGAGCAGGGAUAGGAGGAGAAUCCAGGGACAAGCAAGAGACAUGACGACAGAGUGGACAAAGCUGGAAGUUGGGAAACCUGCAUUUCUAGCACUGGAUACCAUCUUGUUGGGUCGUCUUGGGCAAGUCUUGUCCACUGAAUGGGCCCGUUCCAUCAUCCAAACAAUGCGGGCAGCUCUCUCUUGCAUCCAGGGCCCUCCUUCUCUGCUUGCUCUCCUCCUCCAUAAACUAGUUCUUUACUUAGGGCAGAAAUGAAGCGUGGAUGUGAAAAGAGAGAGGUAGAAAGUGAUGAAGUGCAUUUAAUUCAAUGAUUUUUUAAACUCUAGUUUUAUUCCUUAAACAUUAAAUAUUUACUGAUUUAUUCUAGGAACUUAAGCAUUUUCUUUGCUAAAGGGAGAAAAGACCCCGCCAACGAAUAAAGAAAGAGUGUUGAAGAAGGCGCGGACCAACGAGGACUUCCAGCGCCUCCAGGGGAGGGGGGCAAGUUGGCACAACCACUUUGGAGAGCAACUCUGCGAAAUCUGGUCUGGUCCAUGUGACUGGGCACUUGGAUGCAUCAGCUCCUGGGAAUGUGCUCCUGAGGGACCCUGACACGUGUGACCGAUGACACAGGACUGUCCUAAAUCAAGGCCACCUUCUCCAGGAAGCCUUCUCUGAUUUCUCCCAGUCCCUCCAGGUGGAUCAAACUCAUUGAGUCCUGCUGCAUGGAUCACUGUCUACCUUCUAUUCUUUGUAAAAAUCUGUUUGACCUGCAGAGGCAGAGGGAAAGGGAGAGGCAGGUUCCCUGCUGAACAGGGAGCUCUACCUGGGGCUCUAUCCUAGGACCCUGGAAUCAUGACCUGAGCUGAAAGCAGUUGCUUACCUGACUGAACCACCCAGGCGCCCCUCUUUUCUCAUCUUUAAAGCAGCUGCCAGGAAGCUCAGAACUAAAUCCGAUGUAAACCUGCAGUCCUGAGUCAUUCAAGGCCACCUCCAGUCCUUUAAGGAAAGAAUUUGUAAUUUAUAGAAUUGGCACAAAGGAUCAUCAUUAAGGCCAUUCUUAAAUAUCUAGUGGUUGGCAAAGAAACUCAUGCCCCAUGUGUGGAGCUAGAAGAUUCCAUCCCAAGUCGGCUGUCCAUCCACCAUUCACCAUUCCCAUCCAGGAGUCUGUGGGGCCACCGCCUGCUGUCUCGACACUCAUUCUCCCUGGACCUUCCUUCCUCAUCUAUCUGUAUCAGCUCCAGCCUCUCUCCUGGGAGGAAUUAAGCUAAAUGGUGCCUGAGGCCUCUUUCCACUGCAGCAAAGAUUAAGGGCCAAGGUUUUGGAAUGAAACAUUGCUGGCUUCACAUCCCAGCCCUGUGUGUGGGCUGUGUGACCUGGGGGGCCAGUUUCUCAAAUUCUCUGAGCCUCAGUUUCUUCAUCUGUGGCUGGGGACAUGAUUACUACCUGCAUUGUUGAUGUGCAGAUUACAUAAUGAUUUAAAACAAUUAAGCAAUCGCGUGGGUUUCUGAGUGAGCUGUAGUGUGUUUGUGUGUGACACGGUGGAAAGAAAAGGGUCCCAGGUUAGGAAUGGGACGCUCAGGGUUGGAGCCUGGCUCUGACACCAGAUGGUUCUAGGGCGUA